rnacentral:lncRNA from 1 species
UGGAAACAAUAGACCUACAAAAGGACCUUCGGUAUCAAGAAGUACCUGUCAAGAUUUUGGACACUGUCACCAGGAGGACAAGGAAUACAACAGUCCGGAUCUGCAGAGUACAGUGGAGCAGGCAUGGCGAAGAAGAGGCCACGUGGGAACGCGAGGACGCGUUAAAGAAGGAAUUUCCCCAUCUCUUCAGGACUCAGUCGAAUCUCGAGGACGAGAUUCAAUUUAAGUGGGGUAGGUUUGUAACGCCCGCAAAAAUCACUAACUAAAAUCACCCGUUAAAAACCGUCUUUAAAAUCUUUUACCGCUGAGCUCCAGGAAAUCGGAACCCUUCCCGGCGAUUUCGCCGUCCCGGUACCCAUGCCGACCCCCACCUGUCUUUUUACCUGUGCCCGCGAAUCUCGCCGUGUGCCGGUGUAAGACGCCGUGCGCGUGCUCCGACCGCGUGCCGCGAGUGCCGCCGGUCUCUCCCUUUUCUUUCUCUUUUUCCUCCCCCUUUUUCCUUUUCUUUUUC